UUGACUCAAACCACUACACCACCACCAUGGAACACCCAUAGCCUUUGGAUCAGAGCAAAAUCACCGCCAGAAAUAAUCACCAUUGACGGCAACAUUUGAAACCUCCGUUGAAGCCUAAAAACUGAAACCUUCAUUGUCUCCUUGCACCUUCAUCCUAGAUAGCUUCUUCAAUUUUUUUUAAAAACUGAAAUGGAACUUAUAUCUAUUUCUUCAUUGUCUUCUUCAUUUUUGUGUUCGUUGUUGGGGGAAGUUAAAGAGGUCAAGGCGAUUCGAG
rnacentral:lncRNA from 1 species